rnacentral:rRNA from 1 species
CUCAGGUGUUGUUGGGUAGGGGAGCGUUCUGUAAGCCUGUGAAGGUGUGUCGUGAGGCAUGCUGGAGGUAUCAGAAGUGCGAAUGCUGACAUAAGUAACGAUAAAGCGGGUGAAAAGCCCGCUCGCCGGAAGACCAAGGGUUCCUGUCCAACGUUAAUCGGGGCAGGGUGAGUCGACCCCUAAGGCGAGGCCGAAAGGCGUAGUCGAUGGGAAACAGGUUAAUAUUCCUGUACUUGGUGUUACUGCGAAGGGGGGACGGAGAAGGCUAUGUUGGCCGGGCGACGGUUGUCCCGGUUUAAGCGUGUAGGUGUGUGUUCCAGGUAAAUCCGGUUCACUUUAACACUGAGGCGUGACGACGAGGCACUACGGUGCUGAAGCAACAAAUGCCCUGCUUCCAGGAAAAGCCUCUAAGCAUCAGGUAACAUCAAAUCGUACCCCAAACCGACACAGGUGGUCAGGUAGAGAAUACCAAGGCGCUUGAGAGAACUCGGGUGAAGGAACUAGGCAAAAUGGUGCCGUAACUUCGGGAGAAGGCACGCUGACACGUAGGUGAAGUGAUUUACUCAUGGAGCUGAAGUCAGUCGAAGAUACCAGCUGGCUGCAACUGUUUAUUAAAAACACAGCACUGUGCAAACACGAAAGUGGACGUAUACGGUGUGACGCCUGCCCGGUGCCGGAAGGUUAAUUGAUGGGGUCAGCGCAAGCGAAGCUCCUGAUCGAAGCCCCGGUAAACGGCGGCCGUAACUAUAACGGUCCUAAGGUAGCGAAAUUCCUUGUCGGGUAAGUUCCGACCUGCACGAAUGGCGUAAUGAUGGCCAGGCUGUCUCCACCCGAGACUCAGUGAAAUUGAACUCGCUGUGAAGAUGCAGUGUACCCGCGGCAAGACGGAAAGACCCCGUGAACCUUUACUAUAGCUUGACACUGAACAUUGAGCCUUGAUGUGUAGGAUAGGUGGGAGGCUUUGAAGCGUGGACGCCAGUCUGCGUGGAGCCGACCUUGAAAUACCACCCUUUAAUGUUUGAUGUUCUAACGUGGACCCGUUA